rnacentral:pre_miRNA from 1 species
UUUUUAGUAUAAGGAUGUCCCAUGUCAUCUUUGGGACAUCCUUAUACUAAGA